GAAUGGUCUGUGAGUCAGUAAACCUAGACUUGUUGGUGACUUGACCAAAGGUACAGUUUUUAUUUUCUGCACUGUCUCCAAGGUCCAGAGUCUGGGCUGUUCUGUGUUAGCGUACUUAAUUUCAUGCAAAUGCUAUGAAAAUUCCUGUGAAUGUCUAAAAUACAGCCAGCAAGUAUCCUGGGGUCUAGGAAAAUAUUUUUUGGACACCCCGUAUGUAUUGGAGAAUCCUCUAAGAAUUUUUAAUUUAAUCCUCAUAAUAACAACGAGUUGGCUUCUAUUAUUACUUCCACGUUGCAGAGGAAGAAAUGGAGGCAGAGGGAAAUUAAGCAACUUGACUAAGAUCACAAUGCUGGUAAAUGGAAAAAUAGGGGUCUUGGGUUUGGGGAAAGAGAAUAAAUUAAAGGGAGAAAAAUAAGUGAAGAAAUACUAUGUUAGCUAGGAAAACACAAAUAUUUUGUUGUAUGUUUAUGUAAACUGAUGAAUUUUUAAUACAACCUACUCUCUGUCUUGCAUAUUAAAUGUCAAACUUUAAAGGAAUGCUAAAAUGGUUUCCAGAGAGCUUUUUUGAUAACCAUACUUUACCAUGAAAAUGCUAUGUGGCCUUUGACACCUUUUCAGCAUCUCUGUGUCUUCGAAAAAUGGGGAUGGUUGUUCAAGCCAUCUACCAGGUGAGUUGCUGUUUGGGAAUUUGAGUGUAAAUUGUUUUUUGAUUUCCUUGGAAGAAAGUCAUACUAUAAAAACAAAUUUGGGCUAUUAUAAUGACAAGUGUGUGAGUGUACAUUAAUUUCCCCCUUAUGUUCUUAUUGCCAGCAGAUGGAGGUCGAAAUUGAAUUGCUGCUGACUGUUGUCCCUUGUUAUGGCCUGUGGAGAUAUGACAAUUGAGGAAGAACUUAGAGGAAUGCCAAGUAGCAGAGCAUGAAGCAGUGGGUGUGACCCGCUGCGUUGGACAUUUUAUGGCUGACAGCAUUUGGCAAGAAAAAACUGCAGCCUCUGCAGUAGCCUUGCAAACACGUAUCAACGUCAACCAUGCCCCCACCCUCACCCCUAUUUGAUUUACCCUGUAAUAGGUGCACUUGCCAAAAUCUACUCUUCUAAUUUUCAGCUACCUCACUGCCCCCCUUGCAAAAUACCUAAAUAACUAAAUAAAUAACACUUGAAGAAAUUUCUUUGCUUCA
rnacentral:lncRNA from 1 species